UUACUAUUUCCAUGCAGCAUAUAUACUAAAAUUGGAAUGAUACAGAGAAGAUCACCAUGGCCCCAGAGCAUGGAUGACACACAAAUUCGUGAAGCUAUUAUUAUUAUU